CGAGUACUUGUACUUGGUGGCGACCGGCGCACGGGUGCGUAACGCGUAUGCAACCUACCUUAUACAGAGGGAUAGCCCAGAGAAAUUUGGAUUAAUACCUCAUAGUAUCAUUUGAAGGCAUCUGAAGAUGAUUAAAGAUUUAUCGGUAUAAGAUGGGCAUGCGUAAGAUUAGUUAGUUGGUGAGGUAACGGCUCACCAAGACUUCGAUCUUUAGGGGUUCUGAGAGGAUGAUCCCCCACACUGGUACUGAGAUACGGACCAGACUUCUACGGGAGGCAGCAGUAGGGAAUAUUGGUCAAUGGGCGAGAGCCUGAACCAGCCAUGCCGCGUGCAGGAAGACGGCCUUCUGGGUUGUAAACUGCUUUUAUAUGGGAAGAAAACGGCCUUGCGAGGCAGAUUGACGGUACCAUAUGAAUAAGCACCGGCUAACUCCGUGCCAGCAGCCGCGGUAAUACGGAGGGUGCAAGCGUUGUCCGGAUUUAUUGGGUUUAAAGGGUACGUAGGCGGCCAAUUAAGUCAGUGGUGAAAUCCUGCAGCUCAACUGUAGAACUGCCUUUGAAACUGUUAUUCUUGAGUAUGGUAGGGGUAAGCGGAAUUUAUAAUGUAGCGGUGAAAUGCAUAGAUAUUAUAAAGAACACCGAUAGCGAAGGCAGCUUACUGGACCAUAACUGACGCUAAUGUACGAAAGCGUGGGUAGCGAA
rnacentral:rRNA from 1 species